rnacentral:lncRNA from 1 species
AAUUUAAGGUUAAGGAAACAUUUCAGUACUUUUGCAUGACCUUGAAGCACAGACCUUGCAUGCAUCAGAUGAUAGGAUGCUAAUAUAUAUUCUCUCUCUCUCUCUCUUUCAUGCCAAACUUCAAAGAAUCAGAUUAGAGCUUUUUUCCCCUGAACUAAAUCUUGAAAAAAAUGACCAGCCUGAUAUAAGAAGUGCAUUAUCAAGAGAAGUUGACACAACAUGAAAUGCAAACAAAGCAGUCGCUCUCAGUGGGAAAGACGGCGAGAUCCGAAAACAGAAGAGGGCUCCUGAAUGCCAUGUCCAGUACCAGCAGCAAAAGCAGCAAGAAGAGCCUUUUGCAUGCAGCCAUCCAAAGUCCUUGGAAAAAAUGCCAACACGCAGUUCCACAAUGUCUCCUUUUUUUCUCCUUACUAGAUUGCACGUGAUACUUCUCUUUGUAUUUAACCUUUGGGAAAUAGCUGAUGGGGAACCUUUAGAUCAUUCCAUUUACAGGCUUCAAAAUAAUCCCUGAAGUACACGACAAUCAAAGAUUUAUAGCCGUCUGAAAGGCACCAGAGUUUCUUUCCAAUUAGGUUCAGUCACUGAGUGACAAGGAGCAGCAAUCUCAAGUUAUUGCAAAGUAAGCAAGAGAUAAAAAUGAAUGGAGAAAACCAUACCCUCUCUAAAACUGUCACCAUAGCCAUCAAUGGCUAAAUACAUCUCCAGUCACUGACUGUAUUUUAAGAAGAUAGUAAGCAUGCAAUUCAAAAGGCCUUUCUUCAGUUUAUGGGGAUAUGGGAUCAUAAUAUUGGUACUCAAUAAGAAGCAUUACUUCUUGCUAUAGUCAGAAGUGCAUGCAUGCACACACAUGGGAACGUAUAUUCUAUAUCUCUUAGAGGAAUUGCAGGGGAAUAACUAAAAAUCUAUAAUUUAACCUAAAAAGCUACAAUUUAGAAACCCAUACAAAUCUGACCUCUUAUGAUAGCGCCCAAUAAUGUCUCCUAUGGUACACCCUGGCACGCAUCUGUUGCUCUACAACAACAACAACAACAUCAACAGCAACAACAACAACCACAGAACUAGAAGGGACCCUCUGGAUCAUCGAGUCCAGCCUCCAUCAAGGAGGCACUGUGGGGGAUUGAACUCCUCACCUCUGGAUCUGCAGCCAAAGACCUAAACCCCUGAGCUAUCAAGCGGUUCAACAUUAUAAUGGCCAAAAUCUUACUGGGAACCCCGUGCAUUUAAGGGCAAGGGUGCAGUCAUGUUUUCCUGUUUUGCUUACAAUCCGUCACACCAGGCAUACAACUCAUCAUGAGACCAGUAACAGACAGAGGGGACCGAAAAGGCAGAACUAUUUGCCUAAUGCACCUUAUGUGAUUCCAUAAAAUGAUAAGAUUCUGGCCUUUGUAAAGCAAAAUAAUGUUGUUUCAACACAACAUUAGAUAUAUCUCUGCAACUUUAAACAAAUACACUCUCAAAAUAGUUUGGGCCCCCCAAAAAAAGACAAUAAAAACAUCUGGUGUUGAUGAUCCUCGCUGAAG